rnacentral:tRNA from 1 species
GGUGGCUCAGUGGUAGAGUGCUUUGCCUUGCAUGCAACGAGGCCCUGGGUUCAAUUCCUCAGCACCA